rnacentral:rRNA from 1 species
GCAGUCGAGCGGAUGAGAGAGCUUGCUCUCUGAUUCGGCGGCGGACGGGUGAGUAAUGCCUAGGAAUCUGCCUGGUAGUGGGGGACAACGUUUCGAAAGGAACGCUAAUACCGCAUACGUCCUACGGGAGAAAGCAGGGGACCUUCGGGCCUUGCGCUAUCAGAUGAGCCUAGGUCGGAUUAGCUAGUAGGUGAGGUAAAGGCUCACCUAGGCGACGAUCCGUAACUGGUCUGAGAGGAUGAUCAGUCACACUGGAACUGAGACACGGUCCAGACUCCUACGGGAGGCAGCAGUGGGGAAUAUUGGACAAUGGGCGAAAGCCUGAUCCAGCCAUGCCGCGUGUGUGAAGAAGGUCUUCGGAUUGUAAAGCACUUUAAGUUGGGAGGAAGGGCAGUAAGUUAAUACCUUGCUGUUUUGACGUUACCGACAGAAUAAGCACCGGCUAACUUCGUGCCAGCAGCCGCGGUAAUACGAAGGGUGCAAGCGUUAAUCGGAAUUACUGGGCGUAAGCGCGCGUAGGUGGUUCAGCAAGUUGAAGGUGAAAUCCCCGGGCUCAACCUGGGAACUGCCUCCAAAACUACUGAGCUAGAGUACGGUAGAGGGUAGUGGAAUUUCCUGUGUAGCGGUGAAAUGCGUAGAUAUAGGAAGGAACACCAGUGCGAAGCGACUACCUGGACUGAUACUGACACUGAG